rnacentral:rRNA from 1 species
AUUGAACGCUGGCGGCAGGCCUAACACAUGCAAGUCGAGCGCGCGGCGGACGGGGGAGUAAUGUAUGGGGGACAGCGCGAUAGAGGGGGAUAAAAACAGGAAACGGUGUAUCAAACCCCGCAUUACAGGAGGUACCCAUAGGGGUUUAGCUAGUAGGGGAGGUAUUGGCUCACGAAGGCGAGGAUCCCUCUAUGGUCUGAGAGGAUGAUCCGCCACACUGGGACUGAGACACGGCCCAGACUCCUACGGGAGGCAGCAGUGGGGAAUAUUGCACAAUGGGAGCAAGCCUGAUGCAGCCAUGCCGCGUGUAUGAAGAAGGCCUUCGGGUUGUAAAGUACUUUCAGUCGGGAGGCGUUACCGACAGAAGAAGCACCGGCUAACUCCGUGCCAGCAGCCGCGGUAAUAC